CUACCACUGAGCUAAAUCCCUAACCCCUACAUUCUAAUUCUUGAGCCCUAUGUGCCAGGAUUGUUUAUAUAUAAAUUUGUAUGAAAUACUAUUGGAUUAUAUUUAUGUAUUUUAAUUUUUGUAACAUGCCGUUCACAUCUCUGUACACUUAUGGACUUGGACCCAGUAUUACUUCGAAUACAUCUGAAAAAUUCAGGAAAAAUAUCUUCACCCAUUGAAGCUCAUAUCACAGACUUAAGACAACACUAUGCUUUUAUUCCCUCUAUAGACAAAGCAUCUGAAAUGCAACAUCUAUUUUCCUGGUUAGAUAUGAUAUUCUCUCUUCUGAAGGGUCUGUUGUCUCACUUUUCAACAUUCAGGAACCAGCAAUAAUUGUAUCUCUGGCCCUCUGGUCCCUUCAUCCAAACCUGACAACUUAGCCUCUGGGUCAUCCAUUCCAGGGUCUUUGCCUUCUUGUAGAACCCUUCUCCUGCCUGAUGAGGAUGUAUAUGAUGAUCUUUGAGUCUCAUGGAGACAAUGUCAGAAAUUCUUUUUCAAGAUACACAAUUUACUCAUAUACAAAGAGUCAUUUUAACAUUAACAACCCCCUAGAAAAAGAACGUAAGCUUUAGUGCAGGUCUUAUUGCCCAUUUUACCCUGAAGGUUCAGGGCUGCAGAUGGAACUCAGAAUUCUGGGAUUAUUUUCUUUCUUGUGUUGAUGCAACUUUGUGCUAAGAUUUUAUUUUAUGGUUUGGAAAUACCUUGAUAUUUUUACUUUUCAAACGUUUGAAAAUAUGAAGAUGUUUUACUCAUAAAAGGAAUUUGAUCGUUUUGGUGUAGAUUUCUUUAAUGGAGUCAGACAUCUACUCGAGUUUUUUUCUGUGUAUUCAGUCACAUUCAUGCCAACAAGCCACUGUAUAAAGUUUAUAAAACUCAGGCAAAUCUUAUUCUCUUUAAGUUCUAAACCAUCAAUACUGAUAUGAACAAAGAAGAAUACAUUGUAUUUUAACAUUUCUGAAGGCGGGGAAAAAUGCCCUAACCUUGUGUGCUGUGCCUAUCAACAUCCUCUGCACACUGUGGCUUCUUCCAAGAUUAUCCCCACCUAGGAGAUUGAAUAAACUUCUCCAUGCUUAGAGUCUAUGUUUUCUGCUCUUAAUUUUAAAGUUGUCACAAAUACAGGUCCAUAUAAAGAUGAAGCUACUGAUUGUUGAAUAACAGCAAUUUCAAUUUUGAGAGGCGGUACCUUGACAUCAGUAAAGUCAAUGAAAUUACUCUCUUUCAUGGAAUUACAGUAUUGAUAAUUGCCAGCUUGAGAUGGCAUAUACUCUUAUACUGUGCAAGAAGUCUACAAUUACUGUACCAAUUUUGUGGAACAUACAUAGUGAUAAGACUCACUCAGGCCCCAGAAACAGAGUGUCAACAACUUAGGAGUAAAAUUUCCCCUUUGAGCUCCCCAUCCGUCCUCCAUGCAGAAACACAGGGAAAUGAUUCCUAGAUGAGUGGGCAGAGUCAGGACCCUUCAUGUUAAAGUUAGGGUCUCUAUCAAUACUACUGCAAUCCAACCUCACUCAGCAGAAGUGUUUUGUACUGAGGAGACUGGUCUUGGGUGUUAUGUACUCUCUGUGGGAAGCAGAUACGCUGUCUCUUGUGGCUCCUGCAUCACCCAUCAUAGAAUGAUACAUCUUGAGUCCUAAAACUUAAGUACACCAUUAGCAUCAGCACCUGGUGAGGGAAUGCAAAUCUCUCUUGGAUCCGCCCAAUCUGGGGUAAAAAAGCCAAAGCUGGGCCUGGGCACUCACUGGUGUGCAGCCAUGGACAGGCUUACUUCCUCAUUCCUACUGCUGAUAGUCCCUGCAUGUGUCUUCUCCCAGGUCCAGUUGCAGCAGUCUGGAGCUGAGCUGGUGAAGCCUGGGUCUUCGGUGAAACUGUCCUGCAAGGCUUCUGGCUACACCUUCACUGAAUAUGAUAUUGACUGGGUAAAGCAGAGGCCUGGACAGGGCCUGGAAUGGAUUGGAGGAACAGAGUACAACUGGGAGAAGAUUGAGAAGGUGUUGGGGAAUGGAAACCAGUAAUCAGAAUACAUUGCAUGACGAAAUCUAUUUUCAAUAAGCUUUAGGAAAAAGAACUGUAACAUAUUAAUAAAGAGAACUUUCUGAUAAA